AGCAGCCGCGGUAAUUCCAGCUCCAAUAGCGUAUAUUAAAGUUGUUGCAGUUAAAAAGCUCGUAGUUGAAUUUCGGGAUCAAUAUGUUGGUCGUGCCUUGGUACGUACUGGCGUCAUUGGUUUCUACCUUCUGAAGAACCUCGAUGUCAUUAAUUUGGUGUCUUGGGGAAUCAGGACUGUUACUUUGAAAAAAUUAGAGUGUUUAAAGCAGGCUCACGCUUGAAUACAUUAGCAUGGAAUAAUGAAAUAGGACGUUUGAUUCUAUUUCGUUGGUUUCUAGGAUCGACGUAAUGAUUAAUAGGGAUAGUUGGGGGCAUUAGUAUUCAAUUGUCAGAGGUGAAAUUCUUGGAUUUAUUGAAGACUAACUACUGCGAAAGCAUUUGCCAAGGAUGUUUUCAUUAAUCAAGAACGAAAGUUAGGGGAUCGAAGACGAUCAGAUACCGUCGUAGUCCUUAAACCAUAAACUAUGCCGACUAGGGAUCGGAUGAUGUUAAUUUUUAAUGUACUCAUUCGGCGCCUU
rnacentral:rRNA from 1 species